CCUGAGCUGAAGUCAGACGCUUAACCGACUGAGCCACCCAGGCGCCCCUUAAAAAAAUUCUUUUUUAAAUGCAGUUGUAGAAAGCCAUUGGCUGUUUUCCACUUUUUAUUUUUUUUAUAAAGUAGCCAACAAGUCCUUCUUGAGCACUUUUAACUUGCCCAGUACUGGGGAGAGGUCGCUAAGGAAUGGAAAGGAUGCAGGAAAUAGGAAGUAUUAACUCUGGCUAAUGAAGAAAAUACGAUAGAAAAAAGAAAUUAGUGCACCAUUAUGUGCAAAAUGACUCUUAAUUGCAGCAGUUCUAGCAGGAGAGAAACCAAAGUAGAGAAGAAAAACAAAAGGAAUUAAUACAACUCCUAGAUAAAGAGUUGUAUUCCUUUGCUCGUGUGAGCAGAGGAGUGUUCUUUACAGGGAAGCUAAACGCGUUAGGACUGAAUGCUGAAACGCUGUGGACGAGUACAGAAGCUUCCCAGUCUUGCUCCUUUUGAGUGUGUCCCGAGACUCCACUCCCCAUCCCAGGGGUGUGCGUACAGGGUAGGGUGAGUGAGGAAGUAUAAGCAGCUCUGGGCUUCUGGCUGAAAUAACCGAGUCUGGUGGCUGGAGAGUAGGUGAGGGUAGGCCGUAAGGAGUUUCCUUUGGGCAGGUUGAAAUUUGAAAUGCCUUUGGGAUGCCGUGUAGGUUUUCUAAGGCUAUGGUAGUAAGUUACCAUAAACUGCUGAAGACCAUGUUUUUUUCCUUCCUGGAAGCCAGAAGUCUGAAAUCUAGGUGUCCGCAGGCCACACCCCCUCUGGAGGCUCUAGGAGAGAAUCUGUUCCCUGGUCCCUUCGAGUGUCUGGUGGCUGCUGGCAUUCUGGGCUGAAUGACUGGAUCAGGCCAACUUUUGCCUUUGUGGUCACCCAGCCUCCUCCUGUGCCUACGUCCUGUCUCCCUCUGUCGCUCUCUUAGAAGGUCACCCUGAUUGCCUCUGGGGCCCACCUGGAGAAUGGAGGCUGCCGUCUGCAUCUCAGAAUCCUUAAUCGAAUCUGGUGUGCAAAGACCCUUUUUCCAGAUAAGGUAACAAAUGUUUUAGGGAUUCGAACCCAUUAUCUUUGGAGAGCAAUAGUCAUCUUAACUACAGAUAUCCGAGUGGAAAUCACUGGGGUGUUCUUGAGGUAGGGUCCCUUCCCUAAGCAAUGUGGAAGAAACAAAACCUUCAAAAUAAAGGAAGGCAACCUGGCUGUACGUGGACAUGAAAUCCCUCACAACCCCGUAACAGGAGACCGCCUAAUGAGACCACAUGUUUCUGCGUUACCAUAUAUGGCAGGCAAAGAGGUCGAAAAUGUAUAAAAAACUAUGCCACAUGGCAUUUGGUGCUCAGUUCUUCAGGGACGAACCCAACUGAGCGGUGCUGGCAGGAAUAAAGUUGUUUUCUGGAAAGAAAAGCCUCAGUGUCACAACUCUGUGCGAGAAUCCUGCUACAUUACAUGGGGGCUCGUGUCCGGGAUUCAGAGACGGAGAUGAGCCCUCCCGGUGUGCCGGGGCGAGGACCCCGUGUGCAGCUACAGAACCCGUGUGCGCCAACGGAACCCGUGAGGCCCAGGAACCAGCUUAAGGAGAGCCGCCCAUCAGACUGGUGGUGUAUUGAGAAGGUGCGUUUCUAUGGUCCGACCCGUUCAUUGACAUCCAUGGUGACAGGAAAUGAAUCUCCGGGUCCCCUCUGGAGGCAGUGUUUAUGGUGUAAUCUGCCUGGGUUUGAUCCUCCCCUCCACCACCUCCGUGACCUUCACAAGCUGCCCCAGCUCUUCUGCUGCCUCAUACAUACAUACAGCUCUUCUGCUGCCUCACAAAAGAACACAAAUCCCACCCCUCUCCCUUCCACGGCACCGUCUGGUCUCACCUCUUCUCAGGCUGACGCUCCUUUCCUCACAGACUCAUUAUCUGCCUGUUGCAGAACUGAAGUUGUACUCUCACACACAAUUUCUCAGUCUGACUUGCUGUGGUUUUCUCAGGGGAAAGGCAAGUUUCUUUCAGAAGCCAAGACUCCUGUUUUGUCAGGCGAGGUCAAUACCCAACCCAACAACCACCACAAAUCAGGCUCUUUGAGCUCUGAGCCUAGGUUCAAAACCCAUUCGUUGUGUGGAAUUUUGCAGAGCUACUGGAGUCCCCAGCGGGGCAGAGAAAGGGGGUCAGCAUCAAGAGAUAAGCCACGGCAGCUCUUUUUACUCUCUUAAAGCCUUGAGCCAACCCUGAGCAUUUCUGUCCGUCCCACAGGGUCAAACCAAGCAAGUUUAAUUGGGGAUGGAGAGGGUGGUUAUCCUUCUAUCCCCUUAACAUAUUCCUGGAGCUGCAGGAGGCAGCUUGCACCUCCCUGCAGGAGGAUGCCCUCAGGUGGCAGGAGCUCACUGUGCCAAUGCUCUCAGAGACCCCGGGAUUUGAAGUGCCCUGCCGAGGGGCAGCCUUUCCUGGGUGACUGACCAGAGUUGGACGCUCCAGCGUUCUUGCACCUUCAGACAACCCUGAGAGGUAGCUGUGGUGGACAGACAUGAACAUGGCCUCGCCAGGGCACCUGGUGGCUCAGUCGGUUAAGCGUCUGACUUCGGCUCAGGUCAUGAUCUCAUGGUUUGUGAGUUUGAGCUCUUUGU